rnacentral:sRNA from 1 species
UAUAAUACGGUAGCCUCUGUUCGAUGAGGCC